rnacentral:lncRNA from 1 species
AAAAGCAAAGACGUCAUCGGCCUAGGAGCCUCUCGGCUCUGAGCGCUGGCUCGCAGCCCGGCCCCCACCCUCCUGUCCUCUGGGCUCGCAGGCAGGACGGCGCGCUGCCAGCCCGGGUGGCCAGGACGCGCGGCCUGAGGACACCUGCCCUGCUCCCCUCCGCGGGUCUCCGCCGAACGAGCGGGGCCACUCCUGGUAUCACGUUCUCAGCUGGCCCGGCUCUGGCUGCUGGAGUGGUGGGCGUGGCGAGCUGAGCGGGAAAGGGGAGUGGGUAGUGAGAGAUGACUAAUUCGGUCUAUAGCCCUCUGGCUAUACCGAGGACAAAUGGCGAGAGUUGAGACGUCCUUCUUGAAUGUCACUUUAAAAGUUUUACGCUGAA